UGGGGAAUAUUGCACAAUGGGGGAAACCCUGAUGCAGCGACGCCGCGUGAGCGAAGAAGGUUUUCGAAUCGUAAAGCUCUGUCCUAUGGGAAGAUAAUGACGGUACCAUAGGAGGAAGCACCGGCUAACUCCGUGCCAGCAGCCGCGGUAAUACGGAGGGUGCAAGCGUUAAUCGGAAUUACUGGGCGUAAAGCGCACGUAGGCUGCUUUGUAAGUCAGGGGUGAAAUCCCACGGCUCAACCGUGGAACUGCCUUUGAUACUGCUUAGCUUGAAUCCGGGAGAGGGUGGCGGAAUUCCAGGUGUAGGAGUGAAAUCCGUAGAUAUCUGGAGGAACAUCAGUGGCGAAGGCGGCCACCUGGACCGGUAUUGACGCUGAGGUGCGAAAGCGUGGGGAGCAAACAGG
rnacentral:rRNA from 1 species